rnacentral:rRNA from 1 species
UCCAGCAAUGCCGCGUGAGUGAAGAAGGCCUUCGGGUUGUAAAGCUCUUUUGUCAGGGAAGAAACGGUGAGGGCUAAUAUCCCUUGCUAAUGACGGUACCUGAAGAAUAAGCACCGGCUAACUACGUGCCAGCAGCCGCGGUAAUACGUAGGGUGCAAGCGUUAAUCGGAAUUACUGGGCGUAAAGCGUGCGCAGGCGGUUUUGUAAGUCUGAUGUGAAAUCCCCGGGCUCAACCUGGGAAUUGCAUUGGAGACUGCAAGGCUAGAAUCUGGCAGAGGGGGGUAGAAUUCCACGUGUAGCAGUGAAAUGCGUAGAUAUGUGGAGGAACACCGAUGGCGAAGGCAGCCCCCUGGGUCAAGAUUGACGCUCAUGCACGAAAGCGUGGGGAGCAAACAGGAUUAGAUACCCUGGUAGUCCACGCCCUAAACGAUGUCUACUAGUUGUCGGGUCUUAAUUGACUUGGUAACGCAGCUAACGCGUGAAGUAGACCGCCUGGGGAG